CCCAGGCAACUGUUUACCAAAAACACAGGUGUGUUUCAAAUCGAAAGAUGACGUAUACGAGCUGACGCCUGCCCGGUGCUGGAAGGUUAAAAGGAGAUGUGCAAUGCAUUGAAUUGAAGCCCCAGUGAACGGCGGCCGUAACUAUAACGGUCCUAAGGUAGCGAAAUUCCUUGUCAGGUAAGUUCUGACCCGCAUGAAAGGCGUAAUGAUCUGGGCACUGUCUCAACAGCCCGCCCGGCGAAAUUGUAGUACCGGUGAAGAUGCCGGUUACCCGCGACAAGACGGAAAGACCCCAUGGAGCUUUACUGUAGCCUGAUAUUGGGUUUCGGUGUUGCAUGCACAGGAUAGAUGGGACGCUGGGAAAGAAGCGCUUUGGCGUUUCUGGAGCGGACGUUGGGAUACCAUCCUUGCGACAUUGGAAUUCUAACCUGCGCCUCUGAAUCGAGGCGGGGGACAUUGUCAGGUGGGCAGUUUGACUGGGGCGGUCGCCUCCUAAAAAGUAGCGGAGGCGUUCAAAGGUUCGUUCGAUCUGGACGGAAACCAGAUGAAUGAGUGCAAACGCAUAAACGAGCCUGACUGCGAGACUGACGGGUCGAGCAGAGACGAAAGUCGGAGUUAGUGAUCCGGUGGUAUGUGAGUGGAAAUGCCAUCGCUCAACGGAUAAAAGUUACCCUGGGGAUAACAGGCUGAUCUCCCCCAAGAGUCCACAUCGACGGGGAGGUUUGGCACCUCGAUGUCGGCUCAUCGCAUCCUGGGGCUGAAUUCGGUCCCAAGGGUUUGGCUGUUCGCCAAUUAAAGCGGUACGCGAGCUGGGUUCAGAACGUCGUGAGACAGUUCGGUCCCUAUCUGUCGUGGGCGCAGGAUAUUUGAAAGGCGCUGUCCCUAGUACGAGAGGACCGGGAUGGACGAACCUCUGGUGCACCAGUUGUCACGCCAGUGGCACAGCUGGGCAGCUAUGUUCGGAUCGGAUAAACGCUGAAAGCAUCUAAGCGUGAAGCCGGCCUUAAGAUAAGAUAUCCCACUGAGUCAAUCAGGUAAGACCCCUUGAAGACUACAAGGUUGAUAGGCACACAGUGUAAGCGGAGUGAUCCGUUCAGCUAGCGUGUACUAAUAGGUCGAGGGCUUGACCC
rnacentral:rRNA from 1 species